UCUCCGUUGGUGAACCAGCGGAGGGAUCAUUACAGAGUUGCAAAACUCCAAAACCCUUGUAAACAUACCCGUUACAGUUGCUUCGUUGAGCGGCCCCAGGGCACGGCCGCAGCCUCUUCCCACGAGGCGCCCGCCGGAGGUAUAUAACUCUUUGUCUUAUGAUAUCCCUGAGAAAAUUUAUAAUAAGUCAAAACUUUUAACAACGGAUCUCUUGGUUCUG
rnacentral:misc_RNA from 1 species